UACGGAGGGUGCAAGCGUUAUCCGGAUUCACUGGGUUUAAAGGGUGCGUAGGUGGGCUGGUAAGUCAGUGGUGAAAUCUCCAAGCUUAACUUGGAAACUGCCGUUGAUACUAUAGACCUUGAAUGCUGUGGAGGUGAGCGGAAUAUGUCAUGUAGCGGUGAAAUGCUUAGAUAUGACAUAGAACACCAAUUGCGAAGGCAGCUCACUACCCAGAUAUUGACACUGAGGCACGAAAGCGUGGGGAUCAAACAGG
rnacentral:rRNA from 1 species